rnacentral:tRNA from 1 species
GGGUAUAGCUCAGUGGUAGAGUGUGUAUUUAACAUGCAUGAGGUCUUGGGUUCAAUCCCCAGUACCUCCA